UACGUAGGGUGCGAGCGUUGUCCGGAAUUAUUGGGCGUAAAGAGCUUGUAGGCGGUUUGUCGCGUCUGCCGUGAAAAUUCGAGGCUCAACCUCGAACUUGCGGUGGGUACGGGCAGACUAGAGUGUGGUAGGGGAGACUGGAAUUCCUGGUGUAGCGGUGAAAUGCGCAGAUAUCAGGAGGAACACCGAUGGCGAAGGCAAGUCUCUGGGCCACUACUGACGCUGAGAAGCGAAAGCAUGGGGAGCGAACAGG
rnacentral:rRNA from 1 species